rnacentral:rRNA from 1 species
AUUGAACGCUGGCGGCAGGCUUAACACAUGCAAGUCGAGCGGAGAGAGGUAGCUUGCUACUGAUCUUAGCGGCGGACGGGUGAGUAAUGCUUAGGAAUCUGCCUAUUAGUGGGGGACAACAUUUCGAAAGGAAUGCUAAUACCGCAUACGUCCUACGGGAGAAAGCAGGGGAUCUUCGGACCUUGCGCUAAUAGAUGAGCCUAAGUCGGAUUAGCUAGUUGGUGGGGUAAAGGCCUACCAAGGCGACGAUCUGUAGCGGGUCUGAGAGGAUGAUCCGGCCCACUGGGACUGAGACACGGCCCAGACUCCUACGGGAGGCAGCAGUGGGGAAUAUUGGACAAUGGGAGGAAGCCUGAUCCAGCCAUGCCGCGUGUGUGAAGAAGGCCUUAUGGUUGUAAAGCACUUUAAGCGAGGAGGAGGCUACUUUAGUUAAUACCUAGAGAUAGUGGACGUUACUCGCAGAAUAAGCACCGGCUAACUCUGUGCCAGCCGCCGCCGUAA